rnacentral:rRNA from 1 species
UGAGGAAUAUUGCUCAAUGGCCGCAAGGCUGAAGCAGCAACGCCGCGUGAGGGAUGAAGGAUCUAUGGUCUGUAAACCGCUGUAGAGAAGGGAAAAUAACCCAUUAUAUGGGCUUGAUAGUACUUCUAGAGUAAGCCCCGGCUAACUACGUGCCAGCAGCCGCGGUAAUACGGAGGGGGCGGGCGUUGUCCGGAAUCACUGGGUGUAAAGGGUGCUCAGGCGGGUCGAUAAGUCAGAGGUGAAAUCUCACAGCUUAACUGUGAAUGUGCUUUUGAUACUGUCGGUCUAGAGUUCAGAAGAGGGCAAUGGAAUUCUUGGUGUAGCGGUAAAAUGCAUAGAUAUCAAGAAGAACACCAGUUGCGAAGGCGGUUGCCUGGUCUGUAACUGACGCUCAGGCACGAAAGCGUGGGGAUCAAACA